AAGUCGAACGAUGAAACUUAAAUGAUUCUUCGGAAUGAACUUAAGUGGAUUAGUGGCGGACGGGUGAGUAACGCGUGAGUAACCUGCCUUACACAAGGGGAUAGCCGUUGGAAACGACGAAUAAUCCCUAUGAAACUAUCACUUCGCAUGAAGCGAUAGUCAAAGUGUUAGCGGUGUAAGAUGGACUUGCGUCUGAUUAGCUAGUUGGUGAGAAAAAAGCCCACCAAGGCAACGAUCAGUAGCCGGCUUGAGAGAGUGUACGGCCACAUUGGGACUGAGACACGGCCCAGACUCCUACGGGAGGCAGCAGAAGGG
rnacentral:rRNA from 1 species